AUGUCGUGAUGAUGGCACUUUCGUAAUAACUCCUUUAACUGCUCUCGUGCCUUAUAUAAAGAUUCUUCGCCAAGUUGCUGAAAUGAAAUGAUUUCCUUUCAGAUUUU
rfam:Gossypium raimondii Chr03_contig_631, whole genome shotgun sequence.